rfam:Brachypodium distachyon strain Bd21 chromosome 4, whole genome shotgun sequence.
CCAGCCAAGAAUGGCUUGCCUAUGCCCACGUUCUGUUUCAUCACCACUGGGCUUAAUCUUGGAGCCCUGGUGAUGGAUGAGAUGUGAUUGUAUGGUCAAGCCAUCUUGGCUAGAA